GGGCUACAUAGCGGAGAAGGGGUGAUCUCUCGGGGUUACAGCCUUGCUGAAUUAUUCACCCUUGUCUUUUGCGUACUUCUUGUUUCCUUGGUGGGUUCGCCCACCACUAGGACAAACAUAAACCUUUUGUAAUUGCAAUCAGCGUCAGUAACAAAUUAAUAAUUACAACUUUCAACAACGGAUCUCUUGGUUCUGGCAUCGAUGAAGAACGCAGCGAAAUGCGAUAAGUAGUGUGAAUUGCAGAAUUCAGUGAAUCAUCGAAUCUUUGAACGCACAUUGCGCCCUUUGGUAUUCCAAAGGGCAUGCCUGUUCGAGCGUCAUUUGUACCCUCAAGCUUUGCUUGGUGUUGGGCGUCUUGUCUCUAGCUUUGCUGGAGACUCGCCUUAAAGUAAUUGGCAGCCGGCCUACUGGUUUCGGAGCGCAGCACAAGUCGCACUCUCUAUCAGCAAAGGUCUAGCAUCCAUUAAGCCUUUUUUUCAACUUUUGACCUCGGAUCAGGUAGGGAUACCCGCUGAACUUAAGCAUAUCAUUAANCCGGAGGAAAA
rnacentral:rRNA from 1 species